rnacentral:rRNA from 1 species
CCUACGGGAGGCAGCAGUAGGGAAUUUUGCGCAAUGGGCGAAAGCCUGACGCAGCAACGCCGCGUGAUCGAUGCGCCCUUCGGGGUGGAAAGAUCUGUCAGUGGGGACGAAACUUGACGGUACCCACAGAGGAAGCACCGGCUAACUCCGUACCAGUAGCCGCGGUAAUACGGGGGGUGCGAGCGUUAUCCGGAAUCAUUGGGCGUAAAGGGUUCGUAGGCGGCUGGGAAAGUCUGGUGUUAAAGGCAGUGGCUCAACUUCUGUAUGGCACUUGAGACUUGUGGACUAGAAUGCGGUAGAGGUAAAGGGAAUUCCAGGUGUAGCAGUGAAAUGCUUAGAUAUGAGGAAGAACACCGAUGGCGUAAGC